AUAGUGGUUUCAUUUGUUUCAGUUGAUUUUAUUGGUGGAUUUGAUUCAUACUCAAGUUAUUCGUCACCACAGAAAGGAGGAUCAAGCACGAAUGUGAUGAUGCAGAUGCAGCCAGUAUACGUACAUCAUGGAAUGAACUAGGCACACCUGCACUGAUUACACUAAAACUAGUGCUGUAACUAUGGACUACAAAUGAACCAUUCUUUGAACUAUGUGUUAUUUUUUUACUAUUGAUAAAAUGUAUCUCCAAUUUAUGGGUUAUCCUUGGGGAAACCACACCGAUUAGAAGCAUGGUUGGAUUACAGGCUAAGAGGAUGAGAACUUCAUCAGGAUAAUCCUGAGACAUGUUGCUAAACAACAAGAUGUGUAUGUAAAUGAGGACCCAUUGCUGGGAUGAAAAUAAAGAAGUCAUAACCACUA